rnacentral:rRNA from 1 species
GACGAACGCUGGCGGCGUGCUUAACACAUGCAAGUCGAACGGAAAGGCCUCUUUCGGGGGGUACUCGAGUGGCGAACGGGUGAGUAACACGUGAGUAACCUGCCCUUGACUUUGGGAUAACUUCAGGAAACUGGGGCUAAUACCGGAUAGGAGCUCCUGCUGCAUGGUGGGGGUUGGAAAGUUUCGGCGGUUGGGGAUGGACUCGCGGCUUAUCAGCUUGUUGGUGGGGUAGUGGCUUACCAAGGCUUUGACGGGUAGCCGGCCUGAGAGGGUGUCCGGCCACAUUGGGACUGAGAUACGGCCCAGACUCCUACGGGAGGCAGCAGUGGGGAAUAUUGCACAAUGGGUGGAAGCCUGAUGCAGCAACGCCGUGUGCGGGAUGACGGCCUUCGGGUUGUAAACCGCUUUCGCUCAUGACGAAGCUUUGUGUGACGGUAGUGGGUAAAGAAGCACCGGCUAACUACGUG